GGCUCCUUUUACUUGGAUUGGAGUGGUGAUGAUCUCAUUUUCAUAGCUAGAUUUUUACGUGAAACUAGUUCUUUUGAUAUGGCUCCAAGAUUUGAAUCAUAUUGGUUAAUUCUUUUUGUGUGCUCUAGACAUAUUGUUUGAUAAUUGGAGCUCUCUAAUUGAAUUUGUUUCGAUGUUUGGCAUAGCACCAGUGCAUCUCUU
rnacentral:lncRNA from 1 species